rnacentral:rRNA from 1 species
CUCGCCUGUUUAACAAAAACAUGUCUUUUUGAAUUAUUUAAAAAGUCUACCCUGCCCACUGAAUUAUUUUAAAUGGCCGCAGUAUCCUAACUGUGCAAAGGUAGCAUAAUCAUUAGUCUUUUAAUUGAAGGCUGGUAUGAAUGGUUGGACGAGAUAUUAACUGUUUCAUAAAAAUUUAUAAUAGAAUUUUAUUUUUUAGUCAAAAAGCUAAAAUAAAUUUAAAAGACGAGAAGACCCUAUAAAUCUUUAUAUUUAAAUAAUUACAAUUUUGUGGAUUUUUUUUGUUGUGAUUGUUGAUAAUAUUUUAUUGGGGUGAUAUUAAAAUUUAAAAAACUUUUAAUUAAUUAAAUCAUUAAUUUAUGAAUAAUUGAUCCGUUAUUAACGAUUAAAAAUUUAAGUUACUUUAGGGAUAACAGCGUAAUUUUUUUGGAGAGUUCAUAUCGAUAAAAAAGAUUGCGACCUCGAUGUUGGAUUAAGAGAUAUAUUUUGGUGUAGCCGCUAAAAUGUUAAGUCUGUUCGACUUUUAAAUUCUUACGUGAUCUGAGUUCAGACCGG